rnacentral:rRNA from 1 species
UGGGGAAUAUUUCACAAUGGGCGCAAGCCUGAUGCAGCCAUGCCGCGUGUAUGAAGAAGGCCUUCGGGUUGUAAAGUACUUUCAGCGGGGAGGAAUGGAGUAAAGUUAAUACCUUUGCUCAUUGACGUUACCCGCAGAAGAAGCACCGGCUAACUCCGUGCCAGCAGCGGCGGUAAUACGGAGGGUGCAAGCGUUAAUCGGAAUUACUGGGCGUAAAGCGCACGCAGGCGGUCUGUCAAGUCGGAUGUGAAAUCCCCGGGCUCAACCUGGGAACUGCAUUCGAAACUGGCAGGCUAGAGUCGUGUAGAGGGGGGUAGAAUUCCAGGUGUAGCGGUGAAAUGCGUGGAAAUCGGGGGGAAUACCGGUGGCGAAGGCGGCCCCCUGGACAAAGACUGACGCUCAGUUGCGAAAGCGUGGGGGGCAAACAGG